rnacentral:antisense_RNA from 1 species
CGCCAUUUUCGAGUGAUGCCUGAUCUCAUCAAUCUAGCGGGAGAGACAGGAUAACCUGUCCGAGAGUAUAGCGCCACUAUGACUCCGCCGGAAAAAUUACUUUAAAAAUCGCCAAAAAUUACUUGGAGCAAAGGGCAGUCGGCGGAGCUUCGCCAAAGCUGGCGCAGUCGGUUUAAUAAUGAUAGAAUGAAGACCAUAAUAAAAGAGACCUCUACUUAGCAAUUCUUACCUUUCUUACCUAUUUGAUGAAGAUGUCUUUUGAAAGGUGUACUGCAAGGAACAAAAUGUUUGUAAAUUCUGCUUUUACCAAGGUGGAUAAUUACUGUACCUUCCUCAUGGAAAAAGUUUUAUUUAAAGUGUUAUUUCUCAUUGAAUACUAUCAAAAAGGAAAAAAAAUGACAUAAACUUUUGAGAUAGAUUUGGCUCUAGUAAGUAUUUAGAUAUAUCACUUGCAUAUCUGGGAGAAGAAAUAAGAGACUAUCAUCAAUACAUUCCCAUCUACUAAAAAAUUUUCUUUUACACAUGUCAAGGGAUUACUUAUAACUUCCAUUUUAUUACUAAUAGCUCGAACCCGUUUAAUGAAGACCAAACUCCUCCACCAGAAAUUUAAGUUUAUGUUCUUACUUUGUUUACUUAUAAAAUACAUCUCAGGUAUUUUGGAUGUCUUUUUUUUUUUCUAAGCCUAUAUGCAAU